AUUCUACUAAACAAGUAAUAAGGCUGUUGCAUUCCCUGCAUUCCGAGCGAUUGGACGGCGCCGCGUCGUCGUGUUGGCCAGGGUCGGUGCGUGGGCCACCGUUUGGGCCUGGCACGCUGCUGCAUGUCGGACGCGUGUUGAGAGGUUCGUGCGUGGUGCGUAUUCUGGGGGGUUUGACCGAUCUUUUCUUCCUCCCCUGAACCUCGCAUCUAGAAGCGGUCGUGACCUCGUGGAAGACGGGGUCGAUGACGACGAUGCAGACGAAUAAGUGGUGAGAACAGAGCAGCAUGCCGGUGUCUAGCUCAAGGUGCCAGCACGGGCGUCAGAGCGGAUGGCCCUGUGUGGUAGGCGAGCUCCAGGGCGUCGGGCUCCCGGCGGCACGAGGUGGCCGGCUGCCCACCAGCGUCGAGGCGGGUGACCUGUCCGGCUCCCCAUCUUCACAUCCACCGGAUCCUGCCAGUGAAGGCGGAAGGACGGGUCCGGCACGGCGCACGCGGGAUCCGGCAGCGAGCUGCCUCUGCAAUCCAGAUAGGCGCGCGGGCAUGCGGGGCUUGAUGCAGUGGAAGCGGACAAGUGACGUAUAUGGAUGAAGUUUCCAUCAACCGAGAAUCGAUUAAUGUACUACUGCUUUAACUGAACUAACAUAUAAGUUCGGAGGAGUUAGGGCAGUGGUUUCUUUGAUUUGUGCUAGCUUUGUUCAUCGGAUUCAGUAGGGUAUUACUUUUGUUAAUUUGUUUUGCUAUCUAGAUGUUGAUGUUGCAUAUUAAGAUAUGUUUACCGCUCUUUUUUGGACUAUUAUAAAAACCCAAUGGUUCACUAGAUGGACUACAAACUAGAUAUAUCUUGCCUUACUGAUUAGUAAUCAUAGUACUAAAUAUCACUGCUACAAGAGAUGUUGCGGCUACAUCUUUAACUUUUGUUGGUAAGUUGGAAAUUUUGCCAUCUGUACCAGCAAGGGCGCCAUCCAUUUUCUUCUACUCUCGCUGUGCUGGUUCCGAUGCGCCGGUGCAGGACCUUAAUGGUACCCGCUUGUCCGCUUGACCUAAAGGUUCCUCUCGCGAGGUAUGAGCUGCGUGUCAGCAGCAUGCAGUUACAUGGACCAAUGGGCCGGUAUUACUCGCUCUUCUUGGUUAUUCGCUUUUUCUUUAUGCGGUUUGGUAUUCCUCAUCUUGAUUGUUUAGGAAGCCUGGUGUUCUAAUCGUUUCGUCUUUUCACUGAGAAAGUCAAGAAAAAUAUUUAUAAGUUGCUGUUGCUAAAAUUAGUUAACCACUAAUUAAUUUUCUUUCUCAAAAUUUCUUUGCAAUUUUUAUAAACUAAUUGGUUCCAGGACAAAAAGAUGGCUGUAUUUCGUUUAGAUGCAGGCAAUGUUUUUCAAGCAAUGAUCCCUGUACAACAGACCACAUGAAUUACAAAGGCAUAUUGCAUUAAAAAUACUAUUACAUGAAUUACAAAGGCAUAUCCUAGAAGACUGAGCCAACAUGUUCGUAAUAACACAAUACUUAUACAAUACAUGCUUUCUAAGCCGUGUCCAUAUGUCCAUCUAUAGAUACAUCUGGUUUCUCUCUGCUGACAGUGUUGAACCACUUGAUGCUGAUAAACUGAUACAGGUAAGCAAAAAAGGAACAAUUAUUUUUCUCGCUAUUACUCUAUAGUGUAAGCAUGUUGACAACCCUGCGUUCUGAGACCAUCCCCGGGGACAAGCAUUUUUUAUCGUUUGAUCUUUACCCUGAGCAAUCCGAACCAUUCAGUUUUACCAGUUGGGUAAUGCUUUGGAUCUGAAGAACACUGCAGUCCUCUGAAGUCAUCUGUUGUAGGAUGUAGUUUGAUGAAGUUUGACGAGCGAGUCAGGAGUAAGGAAUCUGGGGCCUUUUUCACCAAGAACAGUUAUGUCAGGUGAAGUUGCUACAUCAUGUGGGGUUAUAGAACAAGAUAAGGAUUUCAGUUCUGAAAAUCUGUUCAUGGUUGUGUGAGGUUGGAUGAUGGUGAAGAUGCUAAGGAGAACUUGAUGCGAGUGAACUUUAAGGAUAUCAUAGUGUGAACUAAAUUCAGUGAGAUAAUGAGCAACCUGAUAAAGUCAGUGUGAGCACUAAGUUUAAUAGCCAAGCAUUGUCGAGGGAAGGAAGUAGUGUUUCUGGGCCAUGUGACUGAUGACAACGCCUGUAGCAGUAUAUGCAGCAUUACUAGCAAGCAAGCCUCAUUAAGAUUUGAGGUGGCAGGCAGUUCAGGUGAUCCUAAUAGAAGUUCUCUAGGACCAGGCCAUAUCACUUUACUAAAGAGGCUUGGUCUGGGCCACAUUGGUUGUGUUUAUUUACCAUACCUUAGUUGCACAGAUUGCUAUGAAGAUUAUGGACAUGACAUCUCUUGCUACCGGGAAUUUUUUUUCUUGCAGUACAAGCUAAAAGUGAGAUAUAUUGCAGUAAUUGGAAUUUUUUUCCUUCUAGCUUUGUAAACUCACUUUGACAUGGACUCACUUUGACAUGGAUACAUUAUCAUGCAGUCAUGCUGGAUGAUUGAGUUUUUCCCUGUAGGAAAAUUUGCACACCCUAAGAAAAAAUCAACCUAGGAAGUAUUUCGCUGAAAAAGGUGCCAAAUAAGUUCCACGCUAUUAUUGUUUAUAGUUCAGUAUUAGCUAUAUAUUAUAUGUUAUUGUUCCGCCAAUUAAAUACGACGAUACAACAUCAAUUUUAGUUUGGGAGUUCAGGAUUCCUGGCUCCCUACUCUUCGUAGGUAUAAAUUUUAAGCAUUUCCAUUCAAAAUGAAAAUGUUUGAUGUUAUUUAUUUUCUACAACUGCAGCUGGUAGUUAUUAGAGGCUCAUGUACAAUGGUCCUAUUUGUUUGUUUAGCUAAGAAAAAAAUCGUUCAUAUAGUUCCAUGUUUAGAAAAGACCCUUUACUGAUCAUCUCCUUUUCAUUUCUUGCAUAUCUUUUGGAUACAAACAUCCUGAGUUAUACCAAAAUGAUCUGGAGGAUUUUUGUCUUACUUAUUUAAGAUUUAUCGUACCCAUAUUAGAUAUUAUAUUUCAUAUUGGAGACAGCAUUUUUUUGCUCCAUGCUAGCAUAGAUAUUUGGUAUGGUAUAUUUUACCGUAGGUCGGCUUCGUUUAGGAGUGUUCUAACAAGAUAGCUGGAGGAGAAGAUCAAGGUGCUAGACUUGAGCUGCUAGAUGCACUUUUGUCUAUUGGGAAAUGCAAAGAAGUGGGAUAUUUGUUUUUAACAUAAGACUCAACUAUGGCUAUGCCUAAGUAAUAUGAGAUCUGCAAAGACGUGGACCUGAUCAAGGUUCUGGUUACUCCCCUGCGUGGGACUUUACUUUCUGUACGUGAGAUGAGGCCAAAUUCAAAAAAAUUAAGUUUUCCUAGCUUUACUUCCAGUUGCUACUUGAGACAGUUUGCUUCCUGGUUUCAUUUUAUGGGGUGGGUUCAACCCUCUUUCAUCUAAAAAAAAACAUAGUUCGUUUACUUCA